UACGUAGGGUGCGAGCGUUAAUCGGAAUUACUGGGCGUAAAGCGUGCGCAGGCGGUUCGCCAAGUCAGGUGUGAAAUCCCCGGGCUUAACCUGGGAAUUGCGCUUGAAACUAGCGGGCUAGAGUGUGUCAGAGGGGGGUAGAAUUCCACGUGUAGCAGUGAAAUGCGUAGAUAUGUGGAGGAAUACCGAUGGCGAAGGCAGCCCCCUGGGAUAACACUGACGCUCAUGCACGAAAGCGUGGGGAGCAAACAGG
rnacentral:rRNA from 1 species